AUACGUAGGUGGCAAGCGUUAUCCGGAUUUACUGGGUGUAAAGGGCGUGUAGGCGGGUCAGCAAGUCAGAUGUGAAAACCCGGGGCUUAACCCCGGGAGUGCAUCUGAGACUGUCGAUCUUGAGUACCGGAGAGGAAAGUGGAAUUCCCAGUGUAGCGGUGAAAUGCGUAGAGAUUGGGAGGAACACCAGUGGCAAGGCGGCUUUCUGGACGGUAACUGACGCUGAGGCGCGAAAGCGUGGGGAGCAAACAGGAUUAGAUACCCUGGUAGUCCACGCUGUAAACGAUGAAUACUAGGUGUAGGGGGUAUCAACUCCCUCUGUGCCGCAGCAAACGCAAUAAGUAUUCCACCUGGGGAGUACGACCGCAAGGUUGAAACUCAAAUGAAUUGACGGGG
rnacentral:rRNA from 1 species